AUGGAGAGCAACAGCAAUAACAACAACAACAAGGCGAAGGUCGGAAACGGCUGUGGCGGCGGCGGGGCGGCGGCGCCGAGGAGGCCGCACUGGAGGCACCGGGACCGGUCGGCCACGGCGGUGUACCUCGUCCACCCCGACCAGUUCCGCGCCGUCGUGCAGCAGCUCACCGGCGCCGAGGCUCCCCCGCCUGUCCAUGGGCAUUGCGGCAACGGCGGUGCGGACCGGGGUGCGGCAACGGCGGUGGAGGCGGCGAAGGGCAGGAGUAGCAGUAGCGGCAGCAUGGAGCAGCGGACGCUGGCUCAGCUGCACCACGACUGCUUGGCAUGGGCCGACGAGUGCUAG
rnacentral:rRNA from 1 species